rnacentral:rRNA from 1 species
UACGGAGGGUGCGAGCGUUGUCCGGAAUUAUUGGGCGUAAAGCGCGCGCAGGCGGUCCUUUAAGUCUGAUGUGAAAGCCCACGGCUCAACCGUGGAGGGUCAUUGGAAACUGGGGGACUUGAGUGCAGAAGAGGAAAGUGGAAUUCCAAGUGUAGCGGUGAAAUGCGUAGAGAUUUGGAGGAACACCAGUGGCGAAGGCGACUUUCUGGUCUGUAACUGACGCUGAGGCGCGAAAGCGUGGGGAGCAAACAGG